UACGAAGGGGGCUAGCGUUGUUCGGAAUUACUGGGCGUAAAGCGCGCGUAGGCGGUUUUGCAAGCCAGAGGUGAAAUGCCUGAGCUUAACUUAGGAAUUGCCUUUGGGACUGCGAGGCUUUGAGGACGAGAGAGGUGAGUGGAAUUCCCAGUGUAGAGGUGAAAUUCGUAGAUAUUGGGAAGAACACCGGUGGCGAAGGCGGCGUCACUGGCUCGUUUCUGACGCUGUAGCGCGAAAGCGUGGGGAUCAAACAGG
rnacentral:rRNA from 1 species